rnacentral:rRNA from 1 species
GACGAACGCUGGCGGCGUGCUUAACACAUGCAAGUCGUACGGUAAGGCCCUUUCGGGGGUACACGAGUGGCGAACGGGUGAGUAACACGUGAGUAACCUGCCCACAACUUUGGGAUAACGCUAGGAAACUGGUGCUAAUACUGGAUAUGUGCUCCUGCUGCAUGGUGGGGGUUGGAAAGCUCCGGCGGUUGUGGAUGGACUCGCGGCCUAUCAGCUUGUUGGUGGGGUAGUGGCCUACCAAGGCGGCGACGGGUAGCCGGCCUGAGAGGGUGACCGGCCACAUUGGGACUGAGGUACGGCCCAGACUCCUACGGGAGGCAGCAGUGGGGAAUAUUGCACAAUGGGCGCAAGCCUGAUGCAGCAACGCCGCGUGCGGGAUGACGGCCUUCGGGUUGUAAACCGCUUUCAGCAGGGACGAAGCUUUUUGUGACGGUACCUGCAGAAGAAGCACCGGCUAACUACGUG